GAUGAACGCUAGCGGCAGGCCUAACACAUGCAAGUCGAACGGUAACAGGCCUUCGGGCGCUGACGAGUGGCGGACGGGUGAGUAACGCGUGGGAAUCUGCCUAGUAGUGGGGGACAACCUGGGGAAACUCAGGCUAAUACCGCAUACGCCCUACGGGGAAAGCAGGGGAUCUUCGGACCUUGCGCUAUUAGAUGAGCCUGCGUCGGAUUAGCUUGUUGGUGGGGUAAAGGCCUACCAAGGCGACGAUCCGUAGCUGGUUUGAGAGGACGAUCAGCCACACUGGGACUGAGACACGGCCCAGACUCCUACGGGAGGCAGCAGUAGGGAAUCUUCCGCAAUGGACGAAAGUCUGACGGAGCAACGCCGCGUGAGUGAUGAAGGUUUUCGGAUCGUAAAGUUCUGUUAUGAGGGAAGAACAAGUGCCGUUCGAAUAGGGCGGCACCUUGACGGUACCUCACGAGAAAGCCCCGGCUAACUACGUG
rnacentral:rRNA from 1 species